AGUAUUGUGAGAGCAAUCGAACAAGAUGAAAGAUUUGGUGCUAUUCCUGGUUGUCGUGCUUCUUGCGUACACGUACGCUGCCCCACAAGCAGUCAACCAUGCUCCCAUAACAGCUUCGGGAGGCUCGGCAGCUUCUGGAGUAGUCUCUGGUUCACAUUUCGGCAAUGGAGCAUUCAGUGCAGGCGGGAAUAAAAAGAGCUGCGGAUUGAUACAAAGUUUGGUGUCAGUAUUGUGGAAUGUGUGUUGAUAAGGAGUCUCAUCUAUAUUGACCGAAGAAAACGUGCAUUUCGGAGUGAAGAAAUAUGUCUAUAAAUAAGAUUGUACAUGUAAUUUGUUUUAAAACAAUAUUGUUUUACAUAAUAUUAAAUGGUAUGAAACUGUACGAGUGAUUUUUAUAUUUUUAUGCUACAUUGUUAUAAUACGUAAUGAUUAUUGUCAAAUGAUAGAUGAACAUUAUAAUAAAAAUACUAGGUAAUUGA